rnacentral:rRNA from 1 species
AUGAUGUUAAUUGUAAAUCUUGAAAGACUUGUUGUUUAUUGUCACUUCUAUAUCUGUUAUAAACUUUUGUUCCUGGUGUGGUACUUGUCAAUUUUGGUUUGCCCUUCCAUUGCAGCAGACCAACAUGUCCUUGUUUCUUCAGUUGAUUUGUCAUUUCAUAUUUGCACUUCUAUUACAGUAGAACAUGUCAUAAACAUAGCGCUGGGCAUUUUUUGUCCAGUUCCCUUCAAAAAACAAGAGAUGGUAGAGAGUGGCUCCAUCACUGAAGAGACGACAAACGUUGUGCAAGGCAUUGUUUGUUUAGCUCCUUUAAAAAAUGAAGGAAUUACAAUGCAUCUGACCUAUAAAGGGGUUGCGAAGGACAAAAUGCUAUGGAUCCAGAGGAGUGGGAGGGGAGAGUUUACCAACAACGCAUCAAGGACAAAGUGUGAUGUGCAUUCCUAUGUUCCAACUAACAUAGCAAAAUUGUACAGACAGAAUGCCAGCAUUUUGCUAUUACAUAGUUUGAGGCUAUGUUUCUUUUAA